ACUCUACAAUGGUGAGGAGUCCUCAUCAAAAUCAAAAAAUCUAAUUUCUUUUACAGGACCCAGAUGAUAUACAGUGGGAAAACCAGCCUGGCAACAUAGUGCGUAUUAAUAAAAGGACACCACAUCCUGCCAAAUUCCAGCUGCGCUAAUUGUAUUGUGUUCACAGAGCUCACAAGCUAUCAGAAAGUUGUAUGGCAACCACCUCCGGCGCCAAAUAGAACUGGCAGACAUAGACAUUCAGUACAAGAAGAAAAAGAUGGAAAAUCUUGCACUGGAGUCCGAAAUAAAAAAGAGGACAAUUAGGAAACUGGACCUUGAAAUAAAAAAACUUGAGGGAGCUCCAAGAAGAUGACACAGCUCAAAAUAAAAAUUAGCAAUCAGUACAACCAAGUCAUCGUUAUAAGGCAUCGCCCUCUUUUGCCCACCCCCCCAGCACCAGGUGUGGCCACUAGCCUAUAUGAAGGCCCAAAAUUGUGUGUUCCUUUCUGCUCUGACAAUGGCAUGCCCAUUCGUGCGAGAUGUGGUGGAUGAAGAAGCACUUGUGCUGAGGAGAGCCUUCAGGCGAGAAAGGGUCUUCAGGGACCGGUUGGACCCACUGGCCUUCCCUGAUGACCAUCUAUAUGAAAGAUACAGGUUUUCUGCAGAUGGCAUCAGGUAUCUAUGCAGACUACUGGGUCCCAGGAUUAAGCACCGCACUGCACGGAGCCAUGCACUGAGUGUGGAGCAAAUGGUUUGUGUGGCCUUGCGCUUUUUUGCUAGUGGAGCCUUCCUGUACUCAGUGGGGGAUGCAGAACAGCUGAACAAGGCCACAAUUUGCCGCACAAUAAGGAGUGUGUGUCUGGCUAUCAAAGCAUUAGCAGAUGUCUUCAUCUCCUUCCCUGGCCACAGAAGACUCUGUGACAUCAAAGAGGAGUUCUAUAGGAUUGCAGAUGGUCUGCAAUGCUGACUGUGUGAUCAGCAAUGUUGUGGCAAAAUGGCCUGGCUCAGUCCAUGACUCCAGAAUCUUUCGGGCCUCUGAAAUCUAUCAGUGCCUAUCACAAGGUGAAUUCUCUGGUGUGUUGCUGGGAGACAGCCUUUUCUCCUGACACCUUUCACAGACCCCCAGGAAGCACAGCAGGCCUACAACCAUGCCCAUGCCAGGACCAGGGCCAGAGUUGAAAUGACCUUUGGCCUCCUGAAGGCACGCUUUCACUGCCUUCACAAAUUAAGGGUCAGCCCUGUUAGGGCAUGUGAUAUUACUGUGGCUUGUGCUGUCCUCCACAAUGUGGCCUGCCUGAGGAAGGAGAGGGCCCCCAGAGUGCCACCAGCCAUGGACUGGGACAAUCCGGCAAUCUUCCCUGAUGACGACAGUGGUCGGCUGCUGAGGGACCAAUAUGUGUUGAAUUAUUUUAGUUAGUAUGUGUGCUUUCAAUUUUGGUUAAAUAUGUCCUGCGGUGGCAGAGGAAUUUGGGUUUUUUUUGGGUUCGUUUUUUUACGAAUUUGGCCUCUUAUGAUGUUUGUGCGGUAUACUGUGUGUAAUACAAGGCUGCAGGGAGGCUACUGCAUCCAUUCAUUUGUCUGUUCAGUUGAUGUGUAUGGAUUUGUCCUGCAUUUAUUUUAGUGUGCAGACAUGCAGGGUGUGUUAUAUACAGACCUUUGAAUGUGUAUGUAUCAUUUUGUAUAAUAUGCUUGGAUUCUGUGCUUUCCAUCUUGUAGAGUCACUGUGACUUCAGUUUCGAAAGGAGCUGAUGGUUUACCUGCUUUGUUUUGUCCUUAUUCAAUAAAGGAACAUAAUGUUACACAUUGUGUUUUUAUAUUCAUAUGGAAUGUGUAUUUGUUUAUAUGACAGAGUACUAGGGCCACACUGAAGAAAAAGGAUAAAGUCAUAAAUUUAUGAGGCUGGUUCUUUCUGCAGAAAAGCUACAUAUUGUUUUUACAGUUUUGAUACUUAUGACAAUGUGAUACUUAAUAUUCUGGCACAUCAGCAUGUCUUUGUUUAUGAAACCAUACUGAAGUACAAUUUCACGAAAUGCCCCACAUCUGUCAUUUUAACAACUGUCCUCCUUUAAAACAACUGGUUACAAUAUUAUUACUUGUGUUUUUUUCCCCUCUGUGGCCCUAAUAUUCUAUCAUUUUAUAUA